rfam:Chlamydomonas reinhardtii strain CC-503 cw92 mt+ CHLREscaffold_76 genomic scaffold, whole genome shotgun sequence.
GCACUAGUGGUAUAGUGGUAGCAUAGGUCCUUGCCAACUUAGGAUUGAGCUCACCGCUCUAUCCAGCUUGUACGGACCAGACCCGAGUUCGAUUCUCGGCUAGUGCA